rnacentral:rRNA from 1 species
AUAUUGGACAAUGGGGGGAACCCUGAUCCAGCGACGCCGCGUGAGUGAAGAAGUAUCUCGGUAUGUAAAGCUCUGUCAGCAGGGAAGAAAGAAAUGACGGUACCUGACCAAGAAGCCCCGGCUAACUACGUGCC